GGAGAAACGGUUGUUCUUGUGUGCAGUUUGAUAACAGACUACUCAUCUGUUCAGUGGGUUAGGAUGGAUUUACAAGUUAUUUAUUCAAAUGGAGAUUUGGUCAAUCCAAACCUUCUAAACCAAACAAGAUAUGAUGUUAUUGGAAACCAGGAAAAUGGUGAAUUUAAUUUUCAAAUCAAACAAGUUAUGAAAUACGAUGAAGGUAUAUAUCGUUGUGACACAAAAAUUGAGGGAAAGGCUGUUUCAGAAGUAGUCUCUUUAAACGUUUAUG
rnacentral:lncRNA from 1 species